ensembl:lncRNA
CCCCUCAGACACUAUAAACCCGCAGGCAGGGUAACCCCACAGGCAGGAUAACCCCACAGACACUAUAACCCCACAGGCAGGAUAACCCCACAGACACUAUAACCCCUCAGACACUAUAAACCCACAGGCAGGAUAAGACCUCAGACACUAUAACCCCUCAGACACUAUAACCCCACAGGCAGGAUAACCCCUCAGACACUAUAACCCCUCAGACACUAUAAUCCCACAGGCAGGAUAACCCCACAGACAGAAUAACCCCACAGACACUAUAAACCCACAGGCAGGAUAAGACCUCAGACACUAUAACCCCUCAGACACUAUAUCCCAACAGACACUAUAACCCCACAGGCAGGAUAACCCCUCAGACACUAUAACCCCACAGACAGGAUAACCCCUCAGACACUAUAACCCCUCAGACACUAUAACACCUCAGACACCAUGAACCCACAGGCAGGAUAACCCCACAAGCAGGAUAACUUCUCAGACACUAUAACCCCACAGGCAGGAUAACCCCUCAGACACUAUAACCCCUGAGACACUAUAAUCCCACAAGCAGGAUAACCCCAGAGACAGGAUAACCCCACAGACACUAUAAACCCACAGCCAGGAUAACCCCUCAGACACUAUAACCCCUCAGACACUAUAAUCCCACAGACAGGAUAACCCCACAGACACUAUAAACCCACAGGCAGGAUAACCCCACAGACACUAUAACCCCACAGGCAGGAUAACCCCUCAGACACUAUAACCCCACAGACAGGAUAACCCCACAGGCAGGAUAACCCCACAGACACUAUAACCCCACAGACACGAUAACCCCACAGGCAGGAUAACCCCACAGACAGGAUAACCCCACAGACACUAUAACCCCACAGGCAGUAUAAGACCUCAGACACUAUAACCCCACAGACAGGAUAACCCCACAGACAGGAUACUAUAACCCCACAGGCAGGAUAACCCCACAGACACUAUAACCCCACAGGCAGGAUAACCCCACAGGCAGGAUAACCCCACAGACACUAUAACCCCACAGA